GAUGAACGCUGGCGGCGUGCUUAACACAUGCAAGUCGAACGGAAAGGCUCCUGCUUGCAGGGGUACUCGAGUGGCGAACGGGUGAGUAACACGUGGGUGAUCUGCCCUGCACUUCGGGAUAAGCCUGGGAAACUGGGUCUAAUACCGGAUAGGACCACAUUUUGGAUGGUGUGGUGGAAAGUUUUUCGGUGUGGGAUGAGCUCGCGGCCUAUCAGCUUGUUGGUGGGGUAAUGGCCUACCAAGGCGUCGACGGGUAGCCGGCCUGAGAGGGUGUACGGCCACAUUGGGGCUGAGAUACGGCCCAGACUCCUACGGGGGGCAGCAGUGGGGAAUAUUGCACAAUGGGCGCAAGCCUGAUGCAGCGACGCCGCGUGGGGGAUGACGGCCUUCGGGUUGUAAACUCCUUUCGCUAGGGAAGAAGCGUUUUUGUGACGGUACCUGGAGAAGAAGCACCGGCUAACUACGUG
rnacentral:rRNA from 1 species